GGGGACGUCACGGCUUCGACGGGAGUCUUGAUGCCUUGGAUGCAUGUCGUGGUUCGUCGAAGGCCACGUAAAAAUCGACGAAAUGUAAUUGGCAACGAUUACGCAAUGGCUGCUUAAUAGUUAACUCUAUUUAAGUACCACGGUCUACCCGAAGGCUCCCAUCGUUCGGAAUAGUCCGUCAUUGAAUGGGAUAGGUUCCUGGUUCUCGCAGAUGGCCAGGGAGCGAAACUAAAGUCUGCGGAGGGUGAGAACAGGUUGUCUGUAGUCGUUUCUCACUUAAUCCAAACUACAGAAUACGCAUGUAGAUUCUAAGGUUGAUGUCUUUCGGACGAGGGUUCGACUCCCUCCGUCUCCACCA
rnacentral:tmRNA from 1 species